GACGAACGCUGGCGGCGUGCCUAAUACAUGCAAGUAGAACGCUGAAGGAAGGAGCUUGCUCUUUCUGGAUGAGUUGCGAACGGGUGAGUAACGCGUAGGUAACCUGCCUGGUAGCGGGGGAUAACUAUUGGAAACGAUAGCUAAUCCCGCAUAAAAUUGAUUAUUGCAUGAUAGUCAAUUAAAAGGUGCAACUGCACCACUACCAGAUGGACCUGCGUUGUAUUAGCUAGUUGGUGGGGUAACGGCUCACCAAGGCGACGAUACAUAGCCGACCUGAGAGGGUGAUCGGCCACACUGGGACUGAGACACGGCCCAGACUGCUACGGGAGGCAGCAGUAGGGAAUCUGCGGCAAUGGACGGAAGUCUGACCGAGCAACGCCGCGUGAGUGAAGAAGGUUUUCGGAUCGUAAAGCUCUGUUGUAAGAGAAGAACGAGUGUGAGAGUGGAAAGUUCACACUGUGACGGUAUCUUACCAGAAAGGGACGGCUAACUACGUG
rnacentral:rRNA from 1 species